rnacentral:tRNA from 1 species
CGCUAAGAAGCUAAAUAGGGCCAUAGCGUUAGCCUUUUAAGCUAAAGAUUGGUGUUUCCCACCCACCCCUAGCGA